rnacentral:rRNA from 1 species
GCCUACGGGGGGCAGCAGUGAGGAAUAUUGGUCAAUGGGCGAGAGCCUGAACCAGCCAAGUCGCGUGAGGGAGUACUGCCCUAUGGGUUGUAAACCUCUUUUGUCGGGGAGCAAAAGCCGGACGUGUCCGUCUGUGAGAGUACCCGAAGAAAAAGCAUCGGCUAACUCCGUGCCAGCAGCCGCGGUAAUACGGAGGAUGCGAGCGUUAUCCGGAUUUAUUGGGUUUAAAGGGUGCGCAGGCGGAUUUUUAAGUCAGCGGUCAAAUCGUGGGGCUCACCCCCAUCCAGUCGUUGAAACUGGGGAUC